rnacentral:rRNA from 1 species
AUAUUGGAUAAUGGUCGAAAGCCUGAUCCAGCCAUGCCGUGUGUGUGUAGAAGGUCUGCGGAUUGUAAAGCACUUUCUGUUGGGAGGAAGGGCAGUAAGUUAAUACCUUACUGAUUUGACGUUACCGACAGAAUAAGCACUGGCUAACUUCGUGCCAGCACCCGCGGUAAUACGAAGGGCGCAAGCGUUAAUCGGAAUUACUGGGCGUAAAGCGCGAGUAGGUGGUUUGUUAAGUUGGAAGUGAAAGCCCCGGGCUCAACCUGGGAACUGCUUUCAAAACUGGCAAGCUGGAGUAUGGCAGAGGGUGGUGGAAUUUCCUGUGUAGCGGUGAAAUGCGUAGAUAUAGGAAGGAACACCAGUGGCGAAGGCGACUACCUGGACUGAUACUGACACUGAGGUGCGAAAGCGUGGGGAGCAAACAGG